rnacentral:rRNA from 2 species
UAGAAUUCCACGUGUAGCAGUGAAAUGCGUAGAGAUGUGGAGGAAUACCGAUGGCGAAGGCAGCCUCCUGGGAUAACACUGACGUUCAUGCUCGAAAGCGUGGGUAGCAAACAGGAUUAGAUACCCUGGUAGUCCACGCCCUAAACGAUGACAAUUAGCUGUUGGGACACUAGAUGUUUUAGUAGCGAAGCUAACGCGUGAAAUUGUCCGCCUGGGGAGUACGGUCGCAAGAUUAAAACUCAAAGGAAUUGACGGGGACCCGCACAAGCGGUGGAUGAUGUGGAUUAAUUCGAUGCAACGCGAAGAACCUUACCUGGUCUUGACAUGUACGGAAUCUCUUAGAGAUAGGAGAGUGCCUUCGGGAACCGUAACACAGGUGUGCAUGGCUGUCGUCAGCUCGUGUCGUGAGAUGUUGGGUUAAGUCCCGCAACGAGCGCAACCCUUGUCAUUAGUUGCCAUCAUUAAGUUGGGCACUCUAAUGAGACUGCCGGUGAUAUGCCGGAGGAAGGUGGGGAUGACGUCAAGUCCUCAUGGCCCUUAUGACCAGGGCUUCACACGUCAUACAAUGGUCGGUACAGAGGGUAGCGAAGCCGCGAGGUGAAGCCAAUCUCAGAAAGCCGAUCGUAGUCCGGAUUGCACUCUGCAACUCGAGUGCAUGAAGUCGGAAUCGCUAGUAAUGCAGGUCAGCAUAG